rnacentral:SRP_RNA from 1 species
GCCGGGCGUGGUGGCGGGCGCCUGUAGUCCCAGCUACUCGGGAGGCUGAGGCAGGAGAAUGGCGUGAACCCGGGAGGUGGAGCUUGCAGUGAGCGAGAUCGCGCCACUGCACUCCAGCCUGGGUGACAGAGCAAGACUCUGUCUCAA